rnacentral:rRNA from 1 species
GACGAACGCUGGCGGCGUGCUUAACACAUGCAAGUCGAACGGUAAGGCCCUUCGGGGUACACGAGUGGCGAACGGGUGAGUAACACGUGGGUGAUCUGCCCUGCGCUUCGGGAUAAGCCUGGGAAACUGGGUCUAAUACCGGAUAGGACCCUGGGAUGCAUGUCCUGGGGUGGAAAGCUUUUGCGGUGUGGGAUGGGCCCGCGGCCUAUCAGCUUGUUGGUGGGGGGAUGGCCUACCAAGGCGACGACGGGUAGCCGGCCUGAGAGGGUGACCGGCCACACUGGGACUGAGAUCCGGCCCAGACUCCUACGGGAGGCAGCAGUGGGGAAUAUUGCACAAUGGGCGCAAGCCUGAUGCAGCGACGCCGCGUGAGGGAUGACGGCCUUCGGGUUGUAAACCUCUUUCAGCACCGACGAAGCGCAAGUGACGGUAGGUGCAGAAGAAGGACCGGCCAACUACGUGCCAGCCGCCGCCGUAA